CUACUCUGGCACUGCACUCAUUUGUGAUCCUGGGAUCAUAUCCUAGUUAGCGGAGUCACUCUAUGAAUUAUUUCCUGAUAACCUCCAGUUCCUGUUUAACCUGGUCCAGCAAGCAUCCCUGAUGAUUUCCAUGGGGAGCCUGCUGGUGGAGCUCUCCAAACAACAGUGGGAUCUUAAUGAAGGAUGACUUGGAAAUUUCAUAGCACGAUAGGUUCCUUAGUGCAUGUCCAGGCCGUGACCAUGACUGUGAAGGUGGAAGAACACUGAGACGAUGCAGG
rnacentral:lncRNA from 1 species